rnacentral:rRNA from 1 species
CCCGAAAGGGUUGGGUGCCCGCAAGGGAGCGUGGAGACAGGUGGUGCAUGGCUGUCGUCAGCUCGUGUCGUGAGAUGUUGGGUUAAGUCCCGCAACGAGCGCAACCCUCACCCCUUGUUGCCACCGGGUAAAGCCGAGCACUCUAGGGGAACUGCUAGCGUUAAGCUGGAGGAAGGCGGGGAUGACGUCAAGUCAUCAUGCCCCUUACGCCCUGGGCUACACACGUGCUACAAUGGCCGGUACAAAGGGAUGCAAGACCGCGAGGUGGAGCUAACCCCAAAAAACCGGUCUAAGUUCAGAUUGCAGUCUGCAACUCGACUGCAUGAAGGAGGAAUCGCUAGUAAUCGCGCAUCAGCACGGCGCGGUGAAUACGUUCCCGGGCCUUGUACACACCGCCCGUCACACCACGAAAGCCGG